rnacentral:tRNA from 1 species
GGGGUAGUGGCUCAGUGGUAGAGUGCUCACCUAGCAUGUGUGGGGCUCUGGGUUCUAUCCUUAGCACCACA